CCAGUCCCAGGACUGAGCCUUGGGGGACACCACUCGUGACCAGCCUCCACCCUGACAUAGAAACAUUUAUUACAACCCUUUGGCUGCGACCAGCCAACCAGUUCUUAACCCACUGCAAAGUGAGUGGAAAAAGCUGUACAGACAUAUGGUUAUGUGAGUGGACAUGUGUGCAAUACACGUAAGUCUUCUGUGCGCUUCUGAAUUUCCUAAUCUGUGGGGCACUUUGGGUAAUGCUCUACAGUUACCAGCUAUCCCUAGGAGUGCAUAGUUGCUCCAAAGAUUGGGAUGGAAUCUUUUCUUGUGUUUUAGUGUGGGAUGAAAAGACAACUGGUCAUGUCUGAAAAAGGGAGAAGGGUAAAUUCUCAGCUACUGCAUCUUUCUGUAGCACAUUAGAUAUGUAUCAUUAACUUUUGCCUGAAUAACCUAAGAAAGACCUUGUUUAACCUGAAAUGUCCACUUCUUUCUCCAUACUCUUUUUUUGUGUCCUCUCUUGAACUAGCACAAGAUUCCUCAAAGGGCUGAAAUGGACUUGUGAUGCAAUUAGUGAUGAGGGAAUUGGUUAUUUUUGGAAGUAUGAUAUCUAAGUUUGAAGACACUCUUGUGAUGCAUACUCUGGGAAUGUGGGUAUUGUUUGUUGAAAUCAAUGAAAGCAGUAGUUACUGUUUUACUUGAGCUGCAAGAAGCUAAGCGAAGAAAGAUGCCUUUCAGAUAGCCUUAUAAAUGGCCUGGAUGCAGAAUUGUGUUUGCGGAUUUGCAAAACUGCCAGAAACCUGAGAGUGGCAAACAUUUCACUUCCUGAUGGUGUUGGGAGGAGGGACACAGAGCAGGACAAAGACUCAUUUUCCUUUGUAUUCCUGCAGUUCUCCUUGUGCUUUUUUUAACCCUUGUGGUGUAACAACACCGUCAUUCUCUCUGGCAGAUUAGGUGAACCAAAGAGCCGAGAUCUGUAGAAAUUAUAUCAGCUAGGGAUGGGAAAAAAAUGGUCAUAGCUUUGCAUGUAUAAGGUCUGACGAAAUGAGCAAGGAAAAGCUAGCCUCCUCCACCUGUCAGUCAGCAUAAUGAAGGAUGCUGUCUAACUCUGCACAACUUGCCAUUUAACCAAGUUUCUGUUUAUAUUAGAAUUGGUAAGAUUGUCUGAGAAACGGCAAACUUGUGAACGUAAGAGCGUGGGGUAACAUGGUUCUCAUCUCACUGGGCUGCAAUGGUUUUGUACCAAAACCUGCUUCAGGUUGUAUGGCAGGUGUAAGUACAUUUCUGACAUAAUUAUCAUCAUUUAAAUAAAUAUGGAGUAGAGUUACUCUGUCCAACUCAGUUCAAGAAGAGUAUUCUGGCAUAUUUUGUGCAUGAUUGCUAUUAUUUCGCCGAUGUAGCAUAAUGACUUUGUGGAGUGGUUAAUAUUAGCUUGGCCUUGAAGAUUUUUGUCUUUGUCUGCAGUGUACUGUUUAUCUAUACUAUUGUAUUAUCUCUGCUGGCCAGGAGUGCUUGUAGCUAGAAGUGUGUUUUGAUAGUAUUGCGAGAGAGAAGGGAGAAAAUGUGUACGAGUCUCUUUGAAUAAAGGCAGAUCAAGCCAAAGAAAUGAAGAGGAACGUGUACAAGCAGCAUGUGACAUUUUGCUCCAGGAACUCUGUUUGGUAGAAUGUGCCUUGUGAGGAAAGAUUGGAUUUUGCUACUGUUUUUGUUGCUUUGCCAGUCUGUUUUGGCUCAAUGAAAACUGAAAGGAGAGCACAAUGAGUGAGAGAGCAAAGCAAUCUCAAAUCAGCACCGUACUGCUUUCCUGUCUAUAGAUGUUCAGGAAAAUAUCUAUGAUAUAAAUGAGAAAAAGUGCAUGCUUUUUUCCUUUCCUUUUCCAUUUUACUUCUUUCUUCUUCUUCUGUUAAGAGCCUAAUUAACCCUAGACAAGAGAAGAAAAAGCAGGAAACAAGAAAUAAUUCUAAAAAAAUAUCCUGUUAAGCGUCUUCUGUCUCAUCCCACCUACACAAAUUUCUGCAAGGCAGACUUUUUAAAUAAAAAGCUAAUACGAAAGAGGAAAGAAUUACUGUUGCUGUUUAUACCUAGCAGUUAGCUGCCAGCAUUAGUCAAUGCAAACAACCCCUUAUCAAUCUAGUCCCUAUACAUAGAACAAAUUGAUUUUUCAAUCUUUUCAUAUAGUCAAAAACAGUUUAAGCAGUUGGGUAUUGUGAUGGCAGAAGACUGAAUAUCUUAUCAGGAUUAGAAAAGAUAGAUUUCCUGUAUUCCAGAGUGCUGCAGAACCUACAUGUCCUGUUUUAUAGAUUAUGAUUAUUUUAAAGGCUUAUAAAGUCAUCUUCUCUGCUGAUUACUUUACAUGAUUCUGUUUUCAACUGAAGGAUUAUGGAUCUUUGUAGAGUAGUGAGGCUCUGGCAUGGGCUGCCCAGAGCUGUGGAUGCCCCAUCCCUGGGGGUGCCCAAGGCCAGGCUGGACGGCACCCAGGGCAGCCUGAGCUGAUUGGGGACGACAACCAGCCAAUGGCAGGGGUUGGGACCAGGGCAGCUUUAAUGUCCCUUCCAAAACAAGCCAUGCCAUGGUCUGUAUAGAGUUCCUCAUAUGACAAACUUCCUGACAUUGCUGCAAAUUUCCCACGUGAAGUGCUUUUUCCUUGUUAUUAAUUGAACAACAAGCAAAAUAAUUCUCUUAAAACUUUCCUUCAAAAUUAGAUAAAAUUCCCCAAGGCACUGUUACAAAAAAGAAAACUGACAUGCGAGACUCAAUCAGGUAAUUUAGAGUUUACUGUGGGGUUUUCUUUCUCCACAGUGUCUUCUCCGAAUCCCUCGAUAUUCACUAACUGCUUUAGGGCUGAAAAGAUAGGUAACUAUCUCCAGUUAAAAAAGAAGAAGAAAAAAUUUAGAAAUCUUUCUUGCUAUGAGUACAUCCCUUUUUAAUUGAUUUUUUUUUCCAUCCAUGCAGUUUCUGCAUUACUUUUUUUAUCAAUUUGAUCUGUAGGACUGAGCUCAGAUGGAGCAGGGUCUGGGAGUAGACUGCAAUUUGAUAUCCAAAUUUUAACUAUAAAUUGGAAAAAAAUGAGUCCGUCUCAUUGGUGAUACAAAGGUAAAUUUGAUUUAUUUGAUGGACUUGUGCAUUUUUGAAACCUGCUCACUGUGGACAUUUUCAGUCUUCCUACUGUGGUUGUCCUCUGCAGCACCCCACUAUCUCCCAUACUUAGCGGUGCAAGAUAAUGCCUUCGGGAUCCUCCACCUCCCCAUAAUCCCUGUGCCAGCUCCCUCCUCCCCAUCUCAUGGAGAAGCAUCCUCUUGCAUCAUCUUGCAGCCCUUCCUACAAAACCCUGAGCUUGCCUCUGUUUGGCUACUCUCCCUGCCUGUGCAGCGAUGUGAGCCUCAUCUACAGCUUGAUGGCUUGUCACACAUGCCAUCUCACCUCUUGUAUCUCUACCCUGUAAAUAUUCCCAUCCCUCCCAAUGAGCUGCUCUCUUGAAUACUUGUGAAGUGGAAGAUACUCAGAAACGAGAGCUGCAUUUUUUGUCUAUUAUCAAUUUCUUAAGUGUGUUAUUGUAUACAUCAUUGUCGUUUUCUUUUCUUCCUAUCAUGUUCUUCUCCUUCAUCUUUUUUUUUCCUGUUUAUGUGACUUCUGUGUUUAAUAUUUUUAUCUCCGGGUCUCUACUGGUCUUUGACAUUUUUCUUGCCAUAAGAACCAGAGAAUAAAAGAAUUGCUCAGGUUGGAAAAGACCUUAACGAUCAUCAAGUCCAACUGCAACUUAUCCAUAGUACUCUAACAACCCACCACUAAAUCUUGUCCCCGAGCACCACGUCCAAAUGGUUCUUAAACGCAUUCAGGGAUGGUGACUCCCUGGGGAGCCUAUUCCAGUGUUUAACAAGCUUUUCUGUAAAGAAGUUUUUCCUGGUAUCCAAACUAAACCUCCCCUGGCAAAUCUUGAGGCCGUUUCCCCUUGUCCUGUCACCUGUCACCAGUGAGAAGAAACCAACUCCGCUCUCACUGCAAUCACCUCUCAGGUAUUCGAAGAUAGCAAAAAGGUCUCCCCUCAGCCUCCUCUUUCCCAGACUAAACAGCCCCUGUUCCUUCAGUCGCUCCUUGUAGGGCAUAUUCUCCAAGACCUUCCCCAGCCUUGUUGCCCUUCUUUGUACCUGCUCCAGCACCUCAAUGUCCUUUCUGUACUGAGGCACACAAAACUGUAUGCAGUACUCAAGGUGGGGCCUCACCAGUGCUGAGUUCAGGGGCAGGAUUACUCCCCUGGUCCUGCUCACCACACCAUUCCUGAUCCAAGCCAGGACGCCAUUGGCCUUCUUGGCCACCUGGGCACACUGCUGGCUCAUAUUCAGCUGACAGUCCAUCAGCGCAACAAGGUCCCUUUACGUCAGGCAGCUUUCCAGCCACUCCUCCCCAAGCCUGUAGGGUUGCCUGGUGUUGUUGUGACCCAAGUGCAGGACCCGACACUUGGUCGUUCUGAAACAACUACAGUUAAUGCUGCUUUGUAAGCAGUAACCCCUUCCAGUCAAAUGACACAGAAUAAAUGCACCUCCGUAACUUCUUGAUAAGAUAAAGGUUUGACAGGUGCCAGUCAUUCUCAGUUUGUAGUUUAAGGGUGAAGAAUAUCCUGUAAGUACAUAUGAACUUCAUUUAUUCCUCCAAAAACUGUUGAGAAGAUGUGUGCUAUAACUUAAGCCAAACCGGAAAAGAUGAAAUGCCUGGAGGAAAUAUUUGCAAAUAUCCUUCAUUUCCAGUUUGCUUUGAAACUCAGACCCAUUUAGAGAACCUGAAGCCCUGACCUACUGUCACUCAUUUUUCUGCCCUUUGUCUCCAAAUGACUUGAACUCUCAAGGCAUAAACCUGGCCCUAAUAAUCCUGGUGAAUUGAUUUUUAGUAUGAUUUGCUGCUGUAACUCAGCUGAAUAUUCCAUUUGCUUCCAUUUCCUUUGUCCUAGCGUCUUACGUGCACUUGGCUAUUCAUUCCCUUACACUUUUCAAAUUCUUAGGCUUUCCUCUGACAUACGUGCUUGGCUCCUGAUGCUAGUUUAGCACUAAACUGUAUUUCCCAUUGCUCUCCCAAAGCUGAAAAUACUAUGCAAGGUGAGGUUUCUUGGGAAAUAACUGCUUACUUCUCACCUUUCCAUAGGAUUCACAAAGAAAAUGAGUUAUUUCAAGAAUAAAUUUGUGAGGGACUUUCUUUAGAAUAGACUUGGCUCAAUUAUACUGUUACACUUCCCAUUUCUUGUGUGUGUGUGUGUUAAGUAAUUAGAUGCUUAUUAAUAAACAUAACAUUUAGUUUGUGAGCACAUUUUACAGGGCAAAAAUUGUUAUUGCUGAAGAUUUAUGUACACAUUAAGACAUAUUCACACAAUAGACACUAAUUCUGAAUUGGCUUUACGAAUUAAAAGUGAGAAUAAGGACUGUAACUGAAGCACUGGUUGUUCUGCUAAUGAUGUUGAAAAGAAAAGAGGCCAGCUUGUUCUUUUUCAACCAUUCUGUCUCUGUAGAUCUGAGGGCAGAAGGAACUCAUUGGAUAUUUUCUGUAAAUAUAGCAAUUCCUACAGGAGUAGAGUGGUAACUUGUAAUGAAUAACAAAAUAAGAGGUUUGUUCCUUUUAUCUACAUACAUGUCUUCCGUCUAUAUAUCUUUUUCUAAUCACAAUUAGGUUUUUUUUUCAGAUUAUUUAUGAAAUAAUUCACCUGAUUCUUGACUUGGAUACUUCUGCAUAUGCUCCAAGGCCAUAGAUGACAAGCUCUGCUGCAGUGAUUAACUUCUGCCACCUGCAGAUGUGGGGAUGUUUCUGUAAUACUCUGUUGAGUUGUACUUCACUGCUAAAACUAGUAGAAAUCUAUGCAGAAUAUAUGGUUUCUUAAGAUGGAUAUGCAGAGACCUGGAAGGGAUUUUCUGACAUGAUGCUUUAGGGGAUGGACGUAGUGGAAGCAGGUAGAAUUUUACUGUUAGAUUUAUCAGAUUUAGGAUUCCAUUUUGUCACUAGAUUUGGCAAAAUCAAUCCAAGUUCAACUCAUGGCUCAGCAGGUAUGUGCCUACAAGGUAAGUCUUUAUUCCUCUGCAAUUAGCCAAGUAGUUUGUCUGGCAAAAUUCUCGAAUGACACUGAGCAACACAGCCUUGUUGCAAUGGGAUCUUUCAAAGGGCUGGAGAAAAUUGCUAUACUUUGCUCCUGGUGGGUUGCCCUCUUAUUAGCUUUGUCACUUCAACUUGAUUUGUUCCUGAGUCUCUGUCUGAAGAUAAAAUCAAUAGGCUUUUCUCCUUAGCUAUCAGAUCAUAAAUAAAAAUCAUUUCUUGGAGUAGAUAUCUGUUUUUUCUGAAAUAACACUGAAACAGUGUGGAGGGAAAUCUGUGCUGCUAGUAGCAGUUUGAAGUUCAAAUACCCACACUCCAUCUUCAUUUCUGUCACUCAGUGUUUGUUUUACAGUCCAAGCACUUAAUCUUUGUAGGUUUUGAUGGUGUUUCUUUUUCUCUCUCAUUCCAUACUAUUAUUCCAGUCAUUAUUUCAAAAAUUGAACAUUCAUCAUGUCCUGCUCACGGUGCAGAUCAGCUCUCUACAGCCAUACUAUGAAUAAAUAAUGUGCUUGUGCUGCUUGUCUGUAGCAGGUACUGCUGCAACGGCUAAGUGUUUUUUAUCUCCAUACUAGUAGUGAACAGAUUUCACAAAAAAUGCAGCGUUUUUGACUAUUAAGCUUUGUGUUGGACACGUUACAGACGUUGUUCAAAGGGUGUAAAAUCCAGAUUUUCAGUACAAAGACUGUUAGAUUCUUGGUGCAGUGGCUGCAAGUGUAUUGACUUAAGUAUCUACUCUGAUUUCAUGAACGGCCGGGCACGUUAGAUACCACCGAGAACUGCCAUCUCAUAUAUGGAAAAAAUCUUAAUGAGUAAAUUUCUUCAGACAGUAAAUCCAUGCAAGAGAAAUAGACAGAAGAGUCUUACUGAACCAGACUGGUUUGUAUAGUGAGACCUUGGCAACUGUUCAGAGAGUGACCAGGUCAAUAUUGAGACAAAUACAGUGAGAAAGACUGGAAAGAAAUUCAUUAUUCAAACAUCUAAGUGGUGUGCUGGGACUGCCUCAAGACCAUGAGAAUUGUGCUUGCUGGAGAUAGCUGGUCUCCAGGCUGGGAGUCAAAAAACCGUAAUAUUUCUGGGUUCUUCGUUCUGUAUCAUAGAAUCACAGAAUCAUUUAAGUUGAAAGGAACUCUAAGGCCAUCUGGUCAAACUCCCUUGUGAUUAAAAGGGACCUAGAGCUUGAUCAGGUUCUCAGAUCCCCAUCCAGCCUGACCUUGCAUGUCUCCAGGGACAGGGCAUACACAAUCUCUCUUGAGCAUUCCAUUCCAUCUUAUGCUCUUCAGAUAUUGUCAAAUGCAUGGACAUAGAAAAAGGUGAACUUUCUCCCCUUCCAGUAUGCAAUCAGAAGAAGUGUCUGCAAUGUUUAGGCAUUCCAUUGUCUCAAUCUUAUCCUAAAAAAGGAAGACCAUGUAAGAAUAAAGUAGAGCAGCUGCUCUGGAGUGAUCUGAUGGCUCAUGCCAGCAUGAUUUAGCAAGCCAGUGAAUGUGCUGGAAAAAGUACCCAGUGGGUAGGGGAAGUAUUUUGCUUGUGGAUUGGAUUUUAUUUUUUAUUUUCAUUUCCAUUCUAGGACACCACGCUGCAGCUCACAAGCUGUAACUCCAUAAAGCAUGUUUAAUGCAUACUUGAGGCCCUCAGCAUCAGCUUCUCCAGGUCUGCAUUUGGCAUUUCCUAACCUAGGUGUAGAUUUGGAUAUUUUGCCACCAUCGUUUUUUUGGUUGUAUGUUUGUUUUCUUGUAUCAGUGCAUCUUUGCAUGAUGACACAGCUUAAGUAUGUCUUGAGUUAGGGCUGAUAUUAAGCUCUUCUUAGCACUGUGUUAUAGGAAUUUCUAUGUGUUGUGUGAUUUUAGUCAUACAGCUAACCGUGUGGCCUUGUCAUCAGGAGGUGCUGUACUAGAGAAUUUUGACAUUGGUAGGUUUUCUGAUUAAAUUCCACGAAUUUUUAUUUAUUUAUUUUAAUGAAAAUGUUUUACUGAAUGAAAUCUGCUUUUUCCAUUAGAUCUCCAGCCUUACUUUGCUUAGAGUUCCCUUUUUCUUGUAUCUUUUUCUACUAGAGUUUUGAAGGCAGCUUUGAAUGUCUAUCAAUGCCUUCUUUGCUCCCAAACCACAAAACUUGGUUUGUAAAUCUACCCAACUUGCAUUUGAGACGCCCAGUCCUCUCACCAGCCUGGCUCACUUCAUAGGAGUGUCACUUAAUGUGCAGACAUAGACCCCACUGCCUAAAAGGAGUGGUAUGGUGCCACCAGAAAGUAUGAUGUGUAGGAAAAAGAAUGUGUACCUGGUUCAUUCUUUAGAAAACGGGUUUUGUAUCAUGGAAAUAAUGCUGAGAAAGCCUAGUCUGAAACAAAAUGCAGUUUCUAAAUAAGCAAGUGAUGGAAAACAAAGAUCAAAAUUUUUAUACUUUUUGAAGUGUGAAAUAAACUUUUUAAAGUUAUGGUUUCUGCUAAAAUAUUUAGAAGGUCACAUUCAAUGAUAAAAAAUGGCACAAAAAAUGAUUUAAAAAAAAAAGAGAGAGACUGAGUAAUAAUCAAACAACGCAGCAUAGGAGCUUUGAUUUCUUUCUUCCUUUGCUUUCUUCUUGCAGUGCUUUUUCAAGGUGGGACUGGUUUAAUGUGAUUCAUGCCACAUAAAAACAAAUGAAACCCCUAGAUAAUAUUAAUGAAAUGCACGAGAAGAAACUUCAUUAGCUGAUGUUCUGGAGACCACAGAGGAGCAAUCUGACAGCUUUAUUUGUGCUAAGUAAAAAUAAGGAGUAGAUAAAUACUUAAAAAUAGUUAAUGAAGCCAUUUGCUUUUUUUAAUUAAAUAGUUAAAGAAGUGUAAAAAUUGCCUCUGCGGAGGUCUCCGUCUACUUAACUUCAGACAAUCCUUCUUAUGUAGAAAGAGUUCCUAAUUUGCAGUGCAAGGAGUUUGAAUUAAUCAUCCCUCAGCUACACAAGGCUUCAAAUCCCUAGUUGAUGGUGCUUUGAUCCACAGUAAAUAUUUGUACAGGUUUCGUCAUGUCCACUCCUAAGAAAAAAAAAUUGUAAAUGAGCACCUCAGCUUAUUAUAGUAAAGCUGAAAUGCAGGGGGGUUUCCUGAAGGUAUUUGCAGGAAAAGUACAGUCUAGAGUGAGAAAGACAUAAAAGCUCAAUGCACCCAUAAUAUUUCUCUUUUCUCCCUUAUAAUUACCUCUAAAUAUCUCCAAAAAAGGAAUUAACUUAAUGUUUCAUGAGCAUUUUCAUCAAAUGCUUUCACAUCAUUUAUAAAAAUGGGGAUUAUUGUGUUUAACUCGUGCACUGUAUUUGCUGUUUGCAUUUUCGUGUGCAUUCUCUAAGUCAAAAUAACACUGCAUCUCUGCUGCUCUGUUAGUAUGGAUGCAACCGAGCCACUACUCAUAUGUUUCUCUGCAGUCCCUCCUGCAACUCACUCUUUCAUUGCAAGUCCAUCUGCCCGUGCUUCUUUGUGCAAACAAUUCCUUUCAGAGCAUAGAAGUUGCUAUUACAGGAACUUUUACAGGAGCCCACUCUGACUCUUGUUUGGAAGAUGCAUCGGAAUCACUGAGCUCGUCAUUUUGUUCUUCAAGGUGACAAAAUAUCAGGACUUUGCAAAGGUCUCUCCAGCUGAGCUGAAGUAGCACCCAGUGGGAUUGCAGAACUCAGAAAAUCACAAAACAUCUCAGCAAAGGUUCUUUGUUAUACUUUAUGCUUUUUGUCCUUUGUAAUCCUAAACAUUGCUCAGAGAAGACGUAAUGGGAUUUUUCAUUGAAGAAGCAGCGGAGGCAGCAAAUUAUACGUAUUUCUAGAUAGAUGCAUAGACGUUCUUAGCCUACGCAAUAGGAAAUUACUGUUUAUUGUCCAAGUAAAUUAUAGGGAAGCAUGACAGUUAUCAAUAUCAAUGCUUCUUGACUUAGAUCUGCAGGAAGAAAAAAUCUCUAUUCAGUACAGCAGUGCUAUCUCAAAAAAGUACUUUAUAGGAGAAAUAAAAGCCUUUAAAGGAGAAGGAUGCAAAUAUUGUUGAUGCUAGUUUGCUGUUCUAGUUUUUAAUCGUGCGAUAAUAGAAAUAAGUUGUGUUCAAAGAGUCUGUUUAAAUUAUGUUAUGUUUAAACAAAUAAAAAAGACAAACAGCUGGAAUAUCCUUAUACGUAGCUAAAAGUAGAGGCAUCGCUUCAUGAAUGAGAGUAGUUUGUAUAAAUCAGAGCUAAUGUCAGGACAGUUUAAGAACCUCAGGAAUUUGCUUCCAUUUUCUGGGUUGUGUCAAUAGUAUUAUAAUUUGUAAUUACUUAAUAGUUAUAAUUUAUAUAAUUUAUAAUAAUUAUUUUUUUUAUUUCUGCGAGAUGCCAUGUGGGAAGAGGGAAACCUCACCUGAAAGCGGAGCAUCUAAGUGCCAUGGACUUUGAUUUCUGUUUCUCAACCUAAAAGCCUUAUCCGGCACUUUUUUCCGUGACUUCCUUUUUAAUUAGGGAUCAAUAGCUAUGUCCCAGCAGUUUACUUGAUUCAUUUGGUUGAAGUUGAUUUGUUCAAAUAUAUUUUUAUCUGCCUAAUGGGGAGGUUGCUCAGCAACAGUGAUGUGCAGACUGUAAAAUUGUGUGGACUUGGCUAUUGCCCAAUUAUUGACCUAUUAGGGAUGGGUGUGAUUUUUACACAAAGCUUCUAAAGCUGCCUGCAAUACCUGCUGCACUACAGAUGCUGAAUGCCAGAGGAGGUCUAAGUCAGUUGUUUUUCAGUUCUGUAUUGGUUCUUGUCACUGUUGUGAAGUGGUAUUUCUUCCUACGGUAAGGUUACAUGUUGAUGAGAAAAAUGGAACAGCGGAAACCCUUGGACAAACCCAAUGAAAGCAACAACUGGAGUACUGUUAAAAUAAUUUUUACCAGUUCAAGUAUUGACUUAGUGCUUUGAUAGGCACUAUAGUAAAAUUGAACUGUUAAUCUGUUAAAAGGGCACUGUAAAAUACUGAAUAGGAUACUAAUGGGCCUUAGUUUGUCCUGCAGAUGACGAUAUCCCUGAGCACCACUGGCUUGGAUUCCUGUGAGCUGGAUGUGCUCCAAGAAGUGGUAAUGUUGCUGCCCUAAGUACAUUGCGAAACUUAACAAUGGCUGAGGAGGCUGUCUUGGGAUCCACAGGGGUGGCAUCCCUGAUAUUUAGAUGCCGAUGCUGAACAUAUCCAAGGAAGUCUAUUUAUGUACUUGUAAAGUUUAUAACCAGUGAACUGUGCUGCAGAGAAGAAACUAACAAGUGGAUAUAGUCAUAGAGAAUAGAAUAUUUCACAUGAUUCACAUACACUUGAGAGUUGGAUUGAAGAGUCAUUCAGUGUUUCGUAUGCCUGAUGCUUGUUUAACAAAAAGUGCUGAUUAUAGAGGCCUCUGUUUUAACUAUUAGAUCAUCACUACAUAUCACCAGAAACCCACGUGCCAUACUUGACGUCAUGAUUAAGAUUUUUUCCAGAUUUCCAGAAUCAGCAGGAACGAAAAAGCUAGAUAUUUUGGAGGUCGUACAAGUCUCCUUACCUUGGUGAAAAACCCUUUUUUUGAGCAACCUGGCCUAGUGAGAGGUGUCCCUGCCUAUAACAGGGGAGUUCGAACUAGAUUAUCUUAAAGGUCCCUUCUAAUCCAAACGAUUCCAUGAUUCUAUGAUUGGCAGAUGAACGAAAGCAUUCAAAAGACAGAGGUGACCAGGUUGCAGCUCAUCGGGAGGUGUCACAUGACAAGAAUUGUGGUGAGCUAUAAAGAAAGUGUAAGAAAAGCCAUGGUGCUCUAUUAGAAGCAAAUGAAACCUAUUUUUCUAGAGGACUUUGCUUGUCACAAAAACCACUAGUUUGAGGGCAAUUAAUUUCUACUCUGCUUUUGAGCUGGGAUUGUCAAUGCACUUUGUGCUUCAGUGCUCAGUUCCUGUGUGUUCUUGUAUUUAAAGCUUUGGGGAACUUGAGGUGCCCGGAAACUGCCUUGAGUUAGGCAGAGCUGUGGUAACUAGGCUUUUGUUUUCAGCUGGGGAGACGUGGAAUUGGUGUGGUUGAACUGAACUGCAGCUUCUGGAUGGAACUUUGUUUCUGAAGUCUCAACUUGCUGAAAAAGAAAAUUUCAUUAGGGAGGAGCUGGUUCUAAUGACUACUUUUUAAAUAAUAAUUUCAGAUAUGUCUAACACUUCUGAUAAUCUUGGAUAAAAAACUGCUGCUUUUUCAGGUAGAAUAAAGUUAUGUAGCAGGUACAUGUUAAAACACUCAUAGGGAUGCAAGGAUAUUGAAAUGGAUUACUAUGAUUGCUGCGUAUCUGAAAUGCUUCCAAAUUUAAUGCUGUUUCAGUUUGAGAUUUAAAGGGAUUUUAAAAUAUCUAGAAAUCUUCAUCAACCUCAGACUUGUAGAACUGAUUUGUGAAAUUGUCACGUAAUAUGGUUGAGGUGAAGGGAAAAUUAAUGUUUUUCGAGAGGUAUGUGACUGAAUCUUUGAGAGGCCGGAAACAGAAAAAAAAAUCCAAUGAAUGAACGAUAUUUGAGGCACUCUUUUUUGCUCAGAUUCCUGGUUUUUUUUAGAUGAGAAAGUGGGUUUUUUUGAUUUGUUUGUUUUUUACUUUGAGUAUGAUGACAAUGUUCACUGCCCAAGAGUCUUGAAAAGGGAUGCUAUUAGAAAGGCCUCUUUUGUGUAUGUGAAUGAUGUCUAUGAAUACCUGUAGGUCUGAGUGCAGAAAUAGUUCCUUUGAAUACAUAACAAAAGAUUACAAAAUAACAAAGAGAAGCAAUUUGCAUUCAGAAAAAUUCAUUAAAAGCAGAUGGAAGCAGAGACUGUAUGAAGUAAAUCUCCGUACCUACCAGAAAAAUAUUACAUCGAAUUCAGGAACGUUACCCUUUAAUUCCUUCUCUUGGGAGAGAUGGAGCUGCCAUCUGCCAUUGUAAUAGCAGCAGGUGGUAAUUAGUACAUUUAAAGGGCAAAAAUAGCACUGUGCCUGACUGUAGUAGAGGGUAGCCAACAACCACAAAAAGGUUUCGGUGACCUUUACCUUUCAUGUUUCAAAAAUAAAAUAUGAAAUAAAAAAUCCCUUUCUCUCAUACAGUAGAUGCUUGCAAUACAUCAGAUAGAUUUCAGGAUAUUUGUUGACUCAAGAUAGUAUGUCAUCUCCUAUGAUCCAUGUUUUCAUUCCUGCAGACCUGAAAUUCUCAUCCGGCACAAAUGUAUGCUCAUAAUACUAAAAAUAGAGAAGAUGAAAGUUGUUGUAAAUCUCAGUUCUAGCACAGUGGUGCUCUGACUUCAGAUAACCUGCUAUGGAUGCAAGACCAUAGUUACUUAGUUUACAUAGAAUAGAUAUGUCAUAUAUUGCCACAGCUCUGAUGUAAGAAUGGAUGAGGACUAGCCCUUGUUAUCAAAAUAGCCAAAAUCUUUCUGGAAAUAGUGAGAAUAAAAUGAGAAUUAAAGAUUGUUAAUUCAAUUUACUUGCGUAAAAGGGAUCUAUCUGAUUGAACCAUUCUAAUUUUUUCUCUAAACGUUUAGUUGGAGCAAUCUGUAAUUACUACCUCUACAGAUUCACAGUCUUUCUGGAACCAGUUAUUACCUGUCACUUGCUGGAAAACAUAAGCAUAUGGUCAGGAAUGCUGAAAAGCCAUUUUUGUUCAAGGUAGCUAGCUAUCAGACAAUAAUUCUAGGGAGUAUUCUGGAUGGAUCAAUACAGACCGUACAGAUCAUCGAGUUUCAACCCCCCCUCCUAUGGCCAGGUUGCCAACCACUGGAUGAAGCUGCCCAAAGGCUCUAUCUUACCUGACCUUGAACACCUCCAGGAAACGUAACUGUUUUUGAAAAGAUUGUCUUUUAAAUACAUGCACUUGUACGCACACACACUCACACGCACAAAUUCAGACUAUGCUGCUCAUAAAAAGUCAUUUCAUACAAAAUAGUCACUGUACAAGUAACAAAGGUAUUUCUUUUGCAAGUAUGUGAUUGUAUUUAAUGAGAAUUUCUUCCUCUUGAGAACAUCCUGUGAAGUAGAAAGGAGGGAACAGGCCAAAAAGAAACUAAAAUUUGUACUGUUCUGAGAACUUAAAAUAAUUUCAGUUUUAUUUAGUUAUGUCAGACAAUAAACGUGACUUCUACCAGACUCUGAAACUGAGCUGUGGGGUUAAUCACUGCUAAAAAAGAGAGUAAAUCUGGGAGACUUGCUUCCAAAUGCAAUUCUGCACGUGCUGCACUGCUGAUGUAAGUGUGUUUAUGAUGUCCACACAGCUUUUUCUGCUGAGAAUGGGAUGAAAUUUCCUGUGCACAUUAUAUAAGGAUUGGAAUAAAAGUGUGAUGGUUGGUUAGUCACAGGGGGAAAAGUUUUUUAAAAAGAAAGCAAACUCAGCUGAGUCAUAACCUCUGGUAACAGAAGGAUUAGUGAAGCAGAAGCAAAGAAUAAAAUGUGGAGUAAUGUGGAAGAUUAAUGGAGCCCAUUGCUGUGCAUCACUUUCUGAUUUUUGCCUCGUCAGCAAGCCCAGAAGGCUGCUAUGAUUACAUUAAGUCUUUUCCCAUUUCUUGAAAAGAUAUUCCCCAUUUCUUUCUUUAUUCCUGAAGUAUUUUUAUCAUAGUAUUAGCACACAAAUAAUUCAAAAUAUUUGAGAAACUUUGCCAUCUCCCUGUCAAUGUUAUAACGCAGAGAGACUGGUUAUCAAAUUUCCUCCUACCUUUUUUUUUCGAAAACUCUCUUUCUGUCUAUUAAGAACAAAUCUAUAAAAAGUGAAAGCUUAAAGAUCUUCCUAUUUUUCCCGUCAUUCAAAUGGAGUUUAUAAAUUCUGAGCUUAGGUCCCUUCCCACCGUGCUUCUCAAUGAGGUGCAGCGCUGAGGUCCUGACGUCUUGUAGUCCUUGAACUGAUCCUUUUUUUUUUUUUAGAAUAGAGGUGAAAGCUGCCGUGCUGUUGCUUAUUACAGUUGCGUAAUUGCAUUCUGCCUGCUUACGUGUUCCUCACUGGCUUCUGUUAGUAGAUAUAUUCCUCAUUUUUCACCUAAGUGGUUGUGUUGUUCCUUGCUAAAAGGGUUAUGCCCUUUUGGCCCAAUAAAAAUGCUUAUUCCCAGAUAUUUCUGUAAUGAGUGAAGCAAUCCUCAUUUAUUUAGACUGCAAUAAGCAGAAACAAAGAAUGCGGGGGUGUCCAACCUGCAGAUUUCUUUGUGCAGCAGUGAGUGAGGAGUUGUCUUGGGUAGCAUAUACGUAGGUUGCUACAAAAGUAAAGCAACCUAUUUAUUUCUUCGGAAACUACAAUAGAUACAAAGAGCAUGAUAAUGCUGUUUGAUAGAGCAAAUUCUCAGUUACCAAACACUAUUUUUUCAACAUUAACCUCCGUUAGCUAUGCAUAUUCACCGGCUCUGAUCAAGAGCCUGCCCUCACUAUACUUUCUUUUCCCUGCAUAAAAUGUGGAUUGAGUUCUCCCUGGUUCAAAGUUAAUGUGCGUCUAUCAUCUAAGGCUUGAGAUGAAGUUGAACAUGGAAAUUAAAUUCUCUUUCUAUAAAUGGAUUAAAUUCCUCUCAAUUACAGGUAGAUUAGGAGAUGGCAUAAAGACUGUCACUUGCAGUGGAAAGUCUGAUCUAAAUAACAGUGUUGAAAAGGCACUGAGCAUCAGAUUUUCUCCAAUUGGAACUAAAUCACAAACUUUUUGUUUUAGGAAGAGUUCAUUAAACCUUGUCUUAUCUACUUAAUUAAAGGCAAGUGUCCCCAAAAUAGAGAAAGAGAAACAAAUUAAGAUAGUAUGCCUCAUCUUCUCCUGAGGAAUGGAAUAUCCUUAUCUUUAGAGCACUAAUUGCUGCAGUUAGGGUUCUGUUAAAAAUGAAUUGGUAUUUGCCAAGAGUACAGAUCUGAAAGAUGCAGAAGAAAAUGAUUAACUAGAGAAGUGUUUUGAUACUUGGAUGUAUCCAUGUAUUUAAAUGUUAAAACAGUUUUUUUGUAAUAAAAGAAAAAAAUACUGGUUUUCGAAAUAAAUCCCAGUGCAUCACUAUGUUUUAUGGGAUUGUAGUGCUUUGUUAAUGUAUCAUAGAACAGAAAGGUUUGCUGUAAAAGCUAUUUCUAUCUUAGAGAACCUUUGCAGCAUGUGUAAUAACAGGGUAGAUUGGUGUUGUGUUCAUUAUUUUCGUGUAUUGUUGAUUACUGUAGUAGGCUACGCUAUUAGGCAGUGGAUUGACUUACCACAGUUCAUGCACAUACAUAAUGAAUCGGUAUUUAUUAUAAAAUGUACACAAAUAUCUUCAGUCCACUUAAUGUCAAUAUAAUAUAGGCAAACAUAAUCAUAUAUAUUUCUAUUCAGGCAAGAGCAAAUUCAAUCCAAAAUUCUGUAUUAGCUGUGUUAAGCAGGCAUGCUGUACAGAGACUCAGGAAUUCAUACUUAUUUCUGUAAAUCCUUUCUUUAUUCGUCAAGUAAAUGUUCCAGAGUGUAAUACAAUAAAUUAAAAGUUGGAAAUUUUCUUUCUUUUUCAUUGUAGUGUAAGGUUAUUUAGGAUAGGACGUUGCUAUUAUUUCUGAACUAAAAAAAUAAGGGAAAAAACUUUAAAUGACCUUGAUUAUCAAGUAUCAUUAAUACUAAAAUACAAACAGCAUAAAAUUAGGACAUACACAUUAAUCUCAACAUUGAAGUCGAAGUAACACAGACAAUGGUAUCUCAAUGUAUGUAACCACUGAGAAUAAGGACGAGUUCAUUGUGGCUCUGUUAGUUGUCGACUCACUUUUCUGUCCUGGAAAAAUAUCCAAAAACUUAGAGGUAAUGUUUAUGCAAUAAGAUUUUCUUCGCCGUAAUAAAGGCGGAGUUCCAAAUUUACCUAACAUUGCAUAUCCUACCAAGAAGAGUUGGCUGUGAAUUUGGAGAACAGAAAGGUACACGGCUGCAGGGACAGAAUUAAAAAACUCAGUGGAGCUUUUCAAGAAAAAAUUGUAGAUGUUGCACUGAGGGGCAUGCAGUGGGCAUGAUAGGGAUGGGUUGAUGUUUGUACUUGUUGAUCUUAGUGGUGUUUUCUAACAGUAAUUAUUCUAUGAAUCAUGAAAUUUCAAUAUCGCAGUAUACUUGCUUUGAAUAACACAAUGUACGUGACUGAAAAAAUAUAGAAAACAACCGACCAAAGUUGGAAAUAGCUAAUGCGAAAACAAAGUAACAAAACAAUGAGGAAGGAUUAGUGGAUAAUUAAUGAGUCAUUCAGCAAGAACAGCACAUAAAAUAUGGACCUUAUAUAGUAUUAGAUGAAAACUGGUAUUACUAAAGCAACGGAAAAAUGUUCAGUUCCUAGAAAUAUUCCAGGUGUGGAAGGCAUAAGGGGAUUGUCUGUUGAGGUCUCAUAUGGUGGAAAACCUAUCAGCUCGGGAGGACGGACAAGCAAAAUGAUAGUCCAGUGGUGUCGGAUGGUGACAGUGCUGUGUUUAGCAGCAAAGAUGUCUUUUGCAGUCUUAAUGAUAGUAACAUCAUCAACUCCAACCCCGGCCCCACUAAACCAUGUCCCUCAGUGCCACAUCUUCGCGGUUCUUGAGCACCUCCAAGGAUUGCGACUCCACUUCUUCCUUGGGCAGACUGUGCUAUUGCCUGGCUGCUCUUUCUGUGAAGAAUUUCUUCAUAGAAUCCAACCUGAACCAGCAGGGACAGAAGCUAACUGGUCAAAGGCCAAAGCUUGUAAGCAUGGGUGGGAUAGAGUAUCAGAAGACAACCCACUGCUGUUCAGCGUAGUCUCUGUUUGCCUGAGUUCAGUUUCUUCAAUAGCUGGAAGAGAUGAGUGAUGUUUUAAUGGAAAGAGCCAAAAUUAAAAUAUUGGCUUCCCUGAUAAAUAAAAUUUUGCCAUACGUGCAGACACAUGUUGUGGUGGAACCACUAAGCAAAUGCAUGGUACAGUCCUCUAAAAUGGAGAGAAUUGUUCAACAGCUGUAGGGAGACAGAAUAUUAUAUUAUAUAUGGACAUGAAAAGGAGAUCAAAAUAAAUCACCUGAGACUCUUCAGGAGUCUUCAGGCGUGGAAUCUUCUCACAGUAAAAGAAAAUGUAAAAGGAGGGAAUAUUUCUGUAUAAAGUGCUCCUUUAUGACUUAGCAAUUUUAUUCUUAAUUUUCAGUGCUUUUCUAAAUAAUUGAAAAGCUUCCCUUACUUACACAGGAGAAUUACUAGACUAUGUUAAGAAUUCCAAAUUGUCAAAUGCAAAUGCGUUUGUUAUUAGAAAACAUACCUUCAAUCGGGAGUAACAGCUUCUGUCUAUUGUUCAAAAAAUUAUGAACAGUUAUUUCCCUUUGUGCUAUACCUGCAGAUUUUUAUUUGUUGCUAACAGUUUCAUGUGAUAUUAAAGGAAAAGAUUUAACUGUAGUCACCUCCUUGGUGUUUACUGUUUGAAGAUUAUGCCACUUGUAAUUCUGCUAUUGACCACAAUGGUCUAAGGACGCUAAAGAAUAUCUUGUUCUAAUGCAGCUAUUCAGGAUGCCUAUCCCGUCCAUUUAAUGAAGUGAAAAUACCAUCACUUGCUGCUCUAGCUCAUUUUAUAACUUAAAAAUUGUUUAUAUUUCUAAGAUGCUUUAGACAAGUAAUGUUGUGAUCGUACUCAUCAUUGUGGUAUUCUUCAUCCUCAGCCCUUAAAGAAAUAUGCUAUGGGGGCAGAUGCUGUACUUACGCAAGGAAUAUAAUAAUUUAGUCACGCAGAACCUUGUUAAUGAUGCAGCUAUUGUAUUAACCUAACCUCCGGAACUAUGUUGUGGCAACGUGGCAUGCUGAACAGGACAUCUGAGAGGACAGGUACAAUCCUGAUUAGAAGCAUGGACGGUCUGGACUUCGGCAGAUGGUCAAGAUAUGACGGCGCCACGAGUCUUACUUCAAAGGAGCUUCAUGACAUCUGAUGAAAGACUUCAUUGUAGUAACUUGUUUAUCUGAUUUAACCAAUAUUCUUGCGAUCUGUGUACAAUAAUCUGCAUUAAGACCAAUAAACGACACAGCUUUGCAUCGUA